AUCCGUGGCACAGUUGGUUCACGCGUCUGGUUGUUAACCAGAAGGUUGGUGGUUCAAGCCCACCCAGGGAUG